CCUACGGGUGGCUGCAGUGGGGAAUAUUGGACAAUGGGCGGAAGCCUGAUCCAGCAACGCCGCGUGAGGGAUGACGGCCUUCGGGUUGUAAACCUCUUUCACCAUUGACGAAGCUCUGGCUUUUUGGUUGGGGUGACGGUAGGUGGGGAAGAAGCACCGGCCAACUACGUGCCAGCAGCCGCGGUAAUACGUAGGGUGCGAGCGUUGUCCGGAAUUAUUGGGCGUAAAGGGCUCGUAGGCGGUUUGUCGCGUCGGGAGUGAAAUUCACCAGCUUA
rnacentral:rRNA from 1 species